rnacentral:rRNA from 1 species
GUGAGGAAUAUUGGGCAAUGGGGGCAACCCUGACCCAGCAACGCCGCGUGAAGGAAGAAGGCCUUCGGGUUGUAAACUUCUUUUACCAGGGAAAAAGAAAAUGAUGGUACCUGGAGAAAAAGCUACGGCUAACUACGUGCCAGCAGCCGCGGUAAUACGUAGGUGGCAAGCGUUGUCCGGAAUUAUUGGGCGUAAAGAGCAUGUAGGCGGGAAUCUAAGUCUGUUGUGAAAAUGCGGGGCUCAACCCCGUAUUGCGAUGGAAACUGGGUUUCUUGAGUGCAGGAGAGGAAAGGGGAAUUCCCAGUGUAGCGGUGAAAUGCGUAGAUAUUGGGAGGAACACCAGUGGCGAAGGCGCCUUUCUGAACUGUGUCUGACGCUGAGAUGCGAAAGCCAGGGUAGCGAACGGGAUUAGAAACCCCUGUAGUCC